rnacentral:rRNA from 1 species
CGGCAACAGCUCAAAUUUGAAAUCGGGCCCCCUCGGGGCCCGAGUUGUAAUUUGGAGAGGAUGCUUCGGGCGGGGCCCGGGUCCAAGUUCCUUGGAACAGGACGUCACAGAGGGUGAGAAUCCCGUGCGUGCCCCGGUGGCCGCGCCCAUGUGAAGCUCCUUCGAC